rnacentral:rRNA from 1 species
UGGGGAAUCUUCCGCAAUGGGCGAAAGUCUGACGGAGCAACGCCGCGUGAGUGAAGAAGGUUUUCGAAUCGUAAAACUCUGUCUUUUUGGGGCGAACGUGAGUAUGGUGAACAAUCAUAGUCAGUGACGGUACCAAAGGAGGAAGCCACGGCUAACUACGUGCCAGCAGCCGCGGUAAUACGUAGGUGGCAAGCGUUGUCCGGAAUUAUUGGGCGUAAAGAGCGCGUAGGCGGGAUAGUCAGUCUGUUGUAAAGUGCGGGGCUCAACCCCGUGAUGGCAAUGGAAACAGCUAUUCUUGAGUGCAGGAGAGGAAAGUGGAAUUCCCAGUGUAGCGGUGAAAUGCGUAGAUAUUGGGAGGAACACCAGUGGCGAAGGCGACUUUCUGGACUGUGUCUGACGCUGAGGCGCGAAAGCCAGGGGAGCGAACGGGAUUAGAUACCCCGGUAGUCCUGGCCGUAAACGAUGGGUACUAGGUGUGGGAGGUAUCGACCCCUUCCGUGCCGGAGUUAACGCAAUAAGUACCCCGCCUGGGGAGUACGGUCGCAAGACUGAAACUCAAAUGAAUUGACGGGGGUCAUAGCUGUUUCCU